rnacentral:misc_RNA from 1 species
CUGGACGUUUCAGCAGAUUGCGCAUGCACCGGCGUGGCCGCGACCACUCCUCCCAGCGCAGCAACAGACACAGAUAAUAGCAGCGCGCACGCGCGCGCAUUCAGCCCCGACAUGACAGCCCCAAAUCUCAAUUUGCUUUUGCGUGAUGCGGCUGGCGGGCAUCGCCCGAAGGCGGCUGGCUGGCUGUCGUAGAAUCCCGUUGG